UAAAAAACACCUCAAUCCAAUUAUUCUACGAUAUUCUAUAUUCUGCCCCAUGGGGAAGGAUGAGAAGCUUCGACUAAGGUUCGACUCGAGCGAAGCGAGAGAACGUUGCCGCAGGCAACGGCCCGAAGGGCGAGGCGCUUUAGCGCCGAGUAAUCCUUCCCCCACCACCA
rnacentral:misc_RNA from 2 species